rnacentral:rRNA from 1 species
UACGUAGGUGGCAAGCGUUAUCCGGAUUUACUGGGUGUAAAGGGCGAGUAGGCGGGACUUCAAGUCAGGUGUGAAAUCUGGGGGCUUAACCCCCAAACUGCAUUUGAAACUGGAGUUCUUGAGUGAUGGAGAGGCAGGCGGAAUUCCCGGUGUAGCGGUGAAAUGCAUAGAGAUCGGGAGGAACACCAGUGGCGAAGGCGGCCUGCUGGACAUUAACUGACGCUGAGGAGCGAAAGUGUGGGGAGCAAACAGGAUUAGAUACCCGGGUAGUCCCU